rnacentral:rRNA from 1 species
CCUACGGGAGGCAGCAGUGGGGAAUAUUGGGCAAUGGGCGAAAGCCUGACCCAGCAACGCCGCGUGAAGGAAGAAGGCUUUCGGGUUGUAAACUUCUUUUGACAGGGAAGAGCAGAAGACGGUACCUGUCGAAUAAGCCACGGCUAACUACGUGCCAGCAGCCGCGGUAAUACGGAGGUGGCAAGCGUUGUCCGGAGUUACUGGGGGUAAAGGGCGUGUAGCCGGGCUGACAAGUCAGAUGUGAAAUCCGGGGGCUCAACCCCCGAACUGCAUUUGAAACUGUUGGUCUUGAGUAUCGGAGAGGCAGGCGGAAUUCCUAGUGUAGCGGUGAAAUGCGUAGAUAUUAGGAGGAACACCAGUGGCGAAGGCGGCCUGCUGGACGACAACUGACGGUGAGGCGCGAAAGCGUGGGGAGCAAACAGGAUUAGAUACCCGAGUAGUC